GGGAUGAACGCUGGCGGCGUGCUUAACACAUGCAAGUCGAACGAUGAAGGCUGGAGCUUGCUCUGGUUGGAUUAGUGGCGAACGGGUGAGUAACACGUGAGUAACCUGCCCCAGACUCUGGGAUAAGCGCUGGAAACGGCGUCUAAUACCGGAUACGAGCUUCCACCGCAUGGUGAGGAGCUAGGAAAGAAUUUCGGUCUGGGGAUGGACUCGCGGCCUAUCAGCUUGUUGGUGAGGUAAUGGCUCACCAAGGCGACGACGGGUAGCCGGCCUGAGAGGGUCGACCGGCACGCGUGGGACUGGACGACACGGCCAGACCUCGUACGGGAGCAGCGAGGUGGGAAUAGUUGACACGAAGU
rnacentral:rRNA from 1 species